rfam:Myotis lucifugus cont2.17343, whole genome shotgun sequence.
AGACACCCUUAUGGGGCUAGACUUGCUUCAGUGGGGCUUUGGUGCUCACUGAGUCUGCCCCCUGAGUGUGUCCCU